rnacentral:rRNA from 1 species
AACGUACGCUGGCGGCACGCCUAACACAUGCAAGUCGAACGAAGUAGCAAUACUUAGUGGCAGACGGGUGAGUAACAUGUAGGUAUCUGCCCUUUGGCCUGGAAUAACACGAGGAAACUUGUGCUAAUACCGGAUAAGUCUUUACGGAGAAAGCUUUAUGCACCAUUGGAUGAGCCUGCACUUGAUUAGUUUGUUGGUGGGGUAAUGGCCUACCAAGACUGUGAUCAAUAGCUGAUUUGAGAGGAUGAUCAGCCACAUUGGGACUGAGACACGGCCCAAACUCCUACGGGAGGCAGCAGUGGGGAAUCUUGCACAAUGGAGGAAACUCUGAUGCAGCGAUGCCGCGUGAGUGAAGAAGGCCCUUGGGUUGUAAAGCUCUUUCGUCGGGGAAGAAAAUGACUGUACCCGAAUAAGAAGGUCCGGCUAACUUCGUGCCAGCAGCCGCGGUAAUACGAAGGGACCUAGCGUAGUUCGGAAUUACUGGGCUUAAAGAGUUCGUAGGUGGUUGAAAAAGUUAGUGGUGAAAUCCCAGAGCUUAACUCUGGAACUGCCAUUAAAACUUUUCAGCUAGAGUAUGAUAGAGGAAAGCAGAAUUUCUAGUGUAGAGGUGAAAUUCGUAGAUAUUAGAAAGAAUACCAAUUGCGAAGGCAGCUUUCUGGAUCAUUACUGACACUGAGGAACGAAAGCAUGGGUAGCGAAGAGGAUUAGAUACCCUCGUAGUCCAUGCCGUAAACGAUGUGUGUUAGACGUUGGAAAUUUAUUUUCAGUGUCGCAGGGAAACCGAUAAACACACCGCCUGGGGAGUACGACCGCAAGGUUAAAACUCAAAUGAAUUGACGGGGACCCGCACAAGUAGUGGAGCAUGUGGUUUAAUUCGAAGAUACGCGCAGAACCUUACCAACACUUGACAUGUUCGUCGCGACUCUAAGAGAUUAGAGUUUUCGGUUCGGCCGGACGAAACACAGGUGCUGCAUGGCUGUCGUCAGCUCGUGUCGUGAGAUGUUGGGUUAAGUCCCGCAACGAGCGCAACCCUCACUUUUAGUUGCCAUCAUUGAGUUGGGCACUCUGAAAGAACUGCCAGUGAUAAGCUGGAGGAAGGUGGGGAUGACGUCAAGUCCUCAUGGCCCUUACGUGUUGGGCUACACACGUGCUACAAUGGUAUCUACAACAGGAAGCAAGACUGCGAAGUUAAGCAAAUCCCUAAAAGAUACCUCAGUUCGGAUUGCACUCUGCAACUCGAGUGCAUGAAGCUGGAAUUACUAGUAAUCGUGGAUCAGCGUGCCACGGUGAAUGCGUUCCCGGGUCU